rnacentral:rRNA from 1 species
GACGAACGCUGGCGGCGUGCUUAACACAUGCAAGUCGAACGGAAAGGCCCUGCUUUUGUGGGGUGCUCGAGUGGCAAACGGGUGAGUAACACGUGAGUAACCUGCCCUUGACUUUGGGAUAACUUCAGGAAACUGGGGCUAAUACCGGCUGAGCUCCUGCUGCAGGGUGGGGGUUGGAAAGUUUCGGCGGUUGGGGAUGGACUCGCGGCCUAUCAGCUUGUUGGUGGGGUAGUGGCUUACCAAGGCUUUGACGGGUAGCCGGCCUGAGAGGGUGACCGGCCACAUUGGGACUGAGAUACGGCCCAGACUCCUACGGGAGGCAGCAGUGGGGAAUAUUGCACAAUGGGCGGAAGCCUGAUGCAGCAACGCCGCGUGCGGGAUGACGGCCUUCGGGUUGUAAACCGCUUUCGCCUGUGACGAAGCGUGAGUGACGGUAAUGGGUAAAGAAGCACCGGCUAACUACGUG